GACGGAGGGUGCUAGCGUUGUUCGGAAUCACUGGGCGUAAAGGGCGCGUAGGCGGCCUUGCAAGUCGGUUGGUGAAAGCCCGGGGCUCAACCCCGGAGGUGCGGCCAAGACUGCAGGGCUGGAGGCCGGAAGAGGAGGGUGGAAUACCCAGUGUAGAGGUGAAAUUCGUAGAUAUUGGGUGGAACACCGGUGGCGAAAGCGGCUCUCUGGUCCGGACCUGACGCUGAGGCGCGAAAGCGUGGGGAGCAAACAGG
rnacentral:rRNA from 1 species